rnacentral:tRNA from 1 species
GGGCCUGUAGCUCAGCCUGGUUUAGAGCAACGGUCUUAUAAGCCGUAGGUCCUGGGUUCAAAUCCCAGCAGGCCCA